AUUCUUUGAUCUUCCUUCUUCCCUAGGCUUACUGUUGGGCAUUACUUCAUAGGUGGCCAGAGAAGACAAAUAAAUGAGUGAAUGAGCCAUCAUGUUAUUUGGAAGCUGGAACUCAGGUAAUUUUGGACUUCUGCAUACAAACCAGAAAAGCGGAGCUGCCGUCCUGUUCAUUGGAAGCUGUGUCUACUUUAGCUAUUGGAGCUUGUCGUCGAAGAUUUUAUGAAGAAAGAAUGACUUACCAACUCCUAAAAUCAACAACUUCAAGGGCCCUCUGAAAAUCAGGGGUUACAAAGUUAACAUAAUGUUUUUGAAACUUCAUGCUGUUGCAUGUAAUUCAUUCAUCUUCUAGUUUGGGGGGUGA